GGGGUUGAUGACACUUUUCUCAAAAUUGAACACCAACCAAUCAAACUUUUGGCUAAGAUUUUCGUACGCCAAAACCCAAAGCAAUGCACCAAACUAACACAAACACCACAACCUUAGCCGUCAGCCCCACAAAAUGAACAGCACACACCAAAUUUUCAGGCCACUAAUUCCUGCCGCCUGUGUCAGUUUCCGGCGGCUGAGCACCUCUAAGCUACUGCCCAGCCCACGUCCCAAAGCUUUGAAACACAGACACUUGUCUCUUCAAACAACCCAAAACUCCAAGUGGGCUGUCAGGCUAAGCUUACUGGACCAAAGCCCGCCAAAAUCUAAACCAAAGGUUGACGUGGAUCGGUUAGUGGAUUUUUUGUACGAGGAUCUUGUCCAUCUCUUUGAUGAUCAGGGAAUUGAUCGGACAGCUUACGAUGAGCGUGUGAAGUUCAGGGACCCAAUUACGAAGCAUGACACGAUAACUGGGUACUUGUUGAACAUCUCCUUCUUGAAGAUUGUGUUCACGCCUAAGUUCCAGUUGCAUUGGGUCAAACAGACAGGACCAUAUGAAAUCACCACAAGGUGGACUAUGGUUAUGAAGUUCAUCCCUUUGCCUUGGAAACCAGAAUUGGUCUUCACAGGAACCUCAGUUAUGGGCAUCAACCCGGAGACCGGGAAGUUCUGCAGCCAUGUGGACUUCUGGGAUUCGAUAAAGACGAAUGACUAUUUUUCAGUAGAAGGUCUGUUGGACGUUUUCAAGCAGCUGCGGUUUUACAAAACUCCAGACUUGGAAACACCCAAAUAUGAGAUAUUAAAACGAACGGCGAAUUACGAGGUGAGAAAGUACUCCCCUUUUAUAGUGGUAGAAGGAUCUGUGGACAAGCUGUCUGGGUCGGCCGGUUUCAAUGAUGUUACUGGGUACAUCUUUGGGAAGAACUCCAAAAUGGAGAAGAUACCAAUGACUACCCCUGUCUUCACUGAGGCAUCUGAUGCUGAAUUUUCCAAAGUAUCCAUCAAAAUAUGUCUUCCACUGGAGAAGGAUAUAAGCAGUUUACCAGAUCCCAAUCAAGAAACAAUUAGGUUAAAAAAGGUGGAAGGAGGCACUGCUGCAGUUCUGAAGUUCAGUGGAAAGCCUACUGAAGAGAUUGUUCGCGAGAAGGAGAAAGAGUUGCGGUCUAGUCUUAUUAGAGAUGGUCUCAAACUUAAGAAUGGUUGCUUGCUUGCUCGUUACAAUGAUCCAGGCCGAACUAAGAGCUUUGUAAUGAGGAAUGAAGUACUGAUAUGGCUGGAGGAGUUUACAUUGGACUAGCAUGUUGAGCAUGGCCGUUCUUCUUCGUUCUAACUCUUCCUGUUGAUCAUUUUUCUCCACAACUUACGGUGAUUAUUAUUGAAGUUGAAUCAAUGCAAUGCAACGCCCUGCUCGCUGGGUAGCUUUGCUCAUGGAUGGAAUGGAAGAACAGCUUGGCACGUGGACCCCUGACAGACAGACAACAUAUGUUCGAGAAAGAGACAAGACAGAAAAGUUAAUAUCCAUGUGAACAACUCAUCAACCUCAUGGAAAUGGUCCCUCAAAAUCAUAAUCAAUUAUGAACCGUCCCGUAUACAUAAAUUACAUAAUGUAGCUAACAUAUACUCGAACCAAAUUUAAUAUCAUUCACUCACUCAGGCUUUGUACAUUCCGCCUCAUGACUGCAGUCUGCGGUGCAAUGUGCCUCUCAAUUUUAAUGUAUUUUACCACUACUUAGUUUAAUUGUGAUCUCUAAUGAGGGAUUUGUGAUCUAAUUGAGAACAGUUUUAGAACAUCUUUACUCCGAUCAUAAUGCCGCAAUUUUC